rnacentral:rRNA from 1 species
GAUGAACGCUGGCGGCGUGCCUAAUACAUGCAAGUCGAGCGGACGGACGAGAAGCUUGCUUCUCUGAUGUGAGCGGCGGACGGGUGAGUCACACGUGGAUAACCUACCUAUAAGACUGGGAUAACUUCGGGAAACCGUAGCUAACACCGGAUAAUAUUUUGAACCGCAUGGUUCAAAAGAGAAAGACGGUCUUGCUGUCACUUAUAGAUGGUUCCGCGCUGCAUUAGCUAGUUGGUAAGGUAACGGCUUACCAAGGCAACGAUGCAUAGCCGACCUGAGAGGGUGAUCGGCCACACUGGAACUGAGACACGGUCCAGACUCCUACGGGAGGCAGCAGUAGGGAAUCUUCCGCAAUGGGCGAAAGCCUGACGGAGCAACGCCGCGUGAGUGAUGAAGGUCUUCGGAUCGUAAAACUCUGUUAUUAGGGAAGAACAUAUGUGUAAGUAACUGUGCACAUCUUGACGGUACCUAAUCAGAAAGCCACGGCUAACUACGUG